UGCGCAGGCGGUUGAGUAAGACAGAUGUGAAAUCCCCGAGCUUAACUCGGGAAUGGCAUAUGUGACUGCUCGGCUAGAGUGUGUCAGAGGGAGGUGGAAUUCCACGUGUAGCAGUGAAAUGCGUAGAUAUGUGGAAGAACACCGAUGGCGAAGGCAGCCUCCUGGGACAUAACUGAGCUCAGGCACGAAAGCGUGGGAGCAAACA
rnacentral:rRNA from 1 species